AUUUUUGUAGUUGAUUAACAACGGUGGUUUUUCGUGCCGCAAGUCUCUGAGGAGCAAAAAUU
rnacentral:tRNA from 2 species